AUGGCUCAGGAUGAACGCUAGCUACAGGCUUAACACAUGCAAGUCGUGGGGCAGCAUGGGGUUGCUUGCAAACUCUGAUGGCGACCGGCGCACGGGUGAGUAACGCGUAUCCAACCUGGCCCUUAGUAGGGGAUAGCCCGGCGAAAGUCGGAUUAAUACCCUAUGUUUCCAAUGCAGACAUCUAAAAUGGAACAAAGGCUUGCCGCUAAGGGAUGGGGAUGCGUCUGAUUAGGUAGUCGGCGGGGUAACGGCCCACCGAGCCAUCGAUCAGUAGGGGUUCUGAGAGGAAGGUCCCCCACAUUGGAACUGAGACACGGUCCAAACUCCUACGGGAGGCAGCAGUGAGGAAUAUUGGUCAAUGGGCGAGAGCCUGAACCAGCCAAGUAGCGUGCAAGGACGACGGCCCUAUGGGUUGUAAACUGCUUUUAUAUGGGGAUAAAGUCGCCUACGUGUAGGUGUUUGCAGGUACCAUAUGAAUAAGGACCGGCUAAUUCCGUGCCAGCAGCUGC
rnacentral:rRNA from 1 species